rnacentral:rRNA from 1 species
UACGUAGGGUGCAAGCGUUGUUCGGAAUCACUGGGCGUAAAGGGAGCGUAGGCGGUUCCGUAAGUCAGAUGUGAAAACUCAGGGCUCAACCCGGAGACGCCAUCUGAUACUGCGGUGACUGGAGUCUGGUAGGGGAACACGGAAUUCCUGGUGUAGCGGUGAAAUGCGCAGAUAUCAGGAGGAACACCGAUGGCGAAGGCAGUGUUCUGGGCCAGUACUGACGCUGAGGAGCGAAAGCGUGGGGAGCAAACAGG